rnacentral:rRNA from 1 species
AAUCCAUAGGUUAAUGAGGCGAACCGGGGGAACUGAAACAUCUAAGUACCCCGAGGAAAAGAAAUCAACCGAGAUUCCCCCAGUAGCGGCGAGCGAACGGGGAGGAGCCCAGAGCCUGAAUCAGCAUGUGUGUUAGUGGAAGCGUCUGGAAAGGCGCGCGAUACAGGGUGACAGCCCCGUACACAAAAGCGCAUGUGCUGUGAGCUCGAUGAGUAGGGCGGGACACGUGGUAUCCUGUCUGAAUAUGGGGGGACCAUCCUCCAAGGCUAAAUACUCCUGACUGACCGAUAGUGAACCAGUACCGUGAGGGAAAGGCGAAAAGAACCCCGGCGAGGGGAGUGAAAAAGAACCUGAAACCGUGUACGUACAAGCAGUGGGAGCACCCUUUGGGGUGUGACUGCGUACCUUUUGUAUAAUGGGUCAGCGACUUAUAUUCUGUAGCAAGGUUAACCGAAUAGGGGAGCCG